GCAUCCCCGUCGUGCCGGGCACUGGUCAUGCCCGAAGAUACUGACCCAUCCUAAACAGGGAGAUGGGAUAAGUGCAUUCCAAAUGUGGUUUUGUAAAACACUGGGCUUUUUGAAGGACUCAGCAUCCACUGAAACUGAUGAAUGACUGGACGGCAGAAGGUGGCCAGAUAUGGACUUAGUUCUCUCCGCCCGGAGCUGCGCUCCUGUGCCUUGUGUGUUACGUCCAGGCGGGACGGCAGGCCCGGCGUUAGUGCUGACAGGCGCGGUGAGGGCCAGGGCACAUGACCCUGGGGCUGAGUUCCUGGGACUGAGUUGCUGAGCAGAGGCACGUGGCAGUAAAGCACCUGGAAGCUCUGGGAGCCCCGUCCCCUGCAUUUAAGGAAAAGGCCACUGUAUGGCGAGACUGUCAGCCAAGCAGAACUAACAGAAACGCAGAAGUAAGCGACUACGUCAUCUGAGGAUUUGUGAUAUCUGAGAAGGGUAAC